AUGUACCUAUUGUCUGCAAAACCAGAGAUUCUAAUGGCCGGCACAAGGCGGAAUCUGUUCACGGCCGCCUACCACAAACUCAAGGAAAUUCUCAAGUGCGGCCUACAACCACCGGUGGAGCAACGAGUGCGGGGGCAACCCAUGGCCAUGGGACUGGGAAGGUUCUUGUACCGCUGCAUGAAUUCAAAAGAAGAAAAAGAGCAACAGAUGCUGGAGGAAAAAUCAGUUGCAGAGAGAAUAUUCACCAAGAUGGAGACGUCACCAGCUGAAGAAGGUCUCGUACAUGACGCCUGGAUUCUUGCUAAAGGGCUCUUGGGGUUAGAGGAUGAGAAGAAAAUGUGGGAGGUGAUCGAAGCCGUGUGGGUGGAGAUGCUCUGCUACUCUGCCAGCAGAUGCCGGGGGCGCCUACACGCUAAGAGCUUGGGCACUGGCGGGGAGCUGCUCACCUUCGUUUGGCUCCUGUGGUCGCACAUGGGGAUGGAAACCUUGGCGGAGAGGAUGCAGAUGCCGGAGGUGGAGAUUCCAGGCGCAGGAGGAAAUGCUGGCCCUGCCUUCAGACAAGACGGUAGCGGUGUUUGA
rnacentral:rRNA from 1 species